ensembl:misc_RNA Metazoa_SRP Metazoan signal recognition particle RNA
GCCAGGCGCGGUGGUGAGUGCCUGUAGUCCCAGCUACUCGGGAGGCUGAGGUGGGAGGAGUUCUGGGCUGUGUGCACCAUGCCGAAUCGGGUGUCCGCGCUAAGUUUGGCAUCAAUAUGGUGACCUCCUGGGAGUGGGGGACCACCAGGUUGCCUACAGAGGGAUGAACCGGCCCAGGUCAGAAACAGAGCAGGUCAAAACUCCAGUGUUGUUCAGUAGUGGGAUCUUGCCUGUGAAUAGUCACUGUACUCCAGCCUGGCAACAGAGUGAGACCCCAUCUCUC